GGAGUAUCGACCCUCUCUGUGCCGAAGCUAACGCUUUAAGUACCCCGCCUGGGGAGUACGGUCGCAAGACUAAAACUCAAAGGAAUUGACGGGGGCCCGCACAAGCAGCGGAGCGUGUGGUUUAAUUCGAUGCUACACGAAGAACCUCACCAGGGCUUGACAUGUCGGAAGUAGUGAACUGAAAGGGAAACG
rnacentral:rRNA from 1 species